ACAGCUAUAUCAUGUUGAAACACUACUUCUUAUAUGGUUGCUGAAGUUAAGCAACAUCAAGCCUGAUCAGUACCUAGAUGGGUGACCGCUUGGGAAUACCAGGUGCUGUAAG